UUUUAUGAAAUUUUGCGUUAUUUUAGUCGAAGACCCCCAAGAUAUUUCUAUGGCGAGCUGCAAUUCUGUCCGUCGAAAAACUCGUCCUUACAAAUUGAGACUAAUAUAUAUGAUUUCAUCUUCCUGUUUCGCAACCUCUACCGGCCGGCCUUUCCACUGUUCCAGUUCUCAGUGAUCGGAGAUGGCGACCGGUCUUUCUAUCUAUGUUCCAUGCUUCAAUACCGACACUAAUUUAUCUUCCAAGUGUCAAAUGCUGCGCAGAAUCGCCAAUUGUGAAGUUCGGUUUCGUGAUUUUCCGAAAGCGUCGUUCCAGAAGAAUCUUACUACUUCUUCCCUGAAGAGUCCGCCGGAAGAACCGAAGUCUACAGCCUCGUCAAACCAGGUCCGUCGAAACAGACUGGACAAAAAGUCGUCCAACUCCUUCUUGUCUAAAUCUGUCUCAGUUCCACUUCUAAAUCGUUUUAGAGAUGCGGGUUUUAAAUUUGAUAAACUUGCCCUGGACAUAUUGGCGAUUGCAUUGCCUGCUGCACUGGCUUUGGCUGCUGAUCCAAUUGCAUCGUUGAUUGACACAGCUUUUGUUGGUCAUAUAGGAUCUACUGAAUUGGCGGCAGUUGGGGUAUCAGCUUCAGUAUUCAAUUUGGUCUCGAAGUUAUUCAAUGUUCCUUUGCUCAAUAUCACUACUUCAUUUGUUGCUGAAGAGCAGGCAUUGAUUAAUACCAAUGAGAAAAACGUUGUUCAAUUAAAUAUUGAUGGCAUAGAAGAAGAGAAUCAAGAAAAGAAGCUCCUUUCCUCUGUAUCUACUUCUUUAGCACUUGCUACUGGUCUUGGAAUUGCUGAAGCUGUUAUGCUGUCUCUUGGUUCAGGGACUCUAAUGGAUAUCAUGGGUAUACCUGUUGAUUCAUCAAUGCGUGCACCUGCAGAGCAAUUUUUGUCUCUGAGGGCAUUUGGUGCUCCACCUAUUGUACUUGCACUUGCUGCACAAGGCACUUUUCGUGGAUUUAAGGAUACAAAAACACCAUUGUAUGCUACUGCUGCUGGUAAUCUACUCAAUGCAGUACUGGAUCCAUUAUUGAUAUUCUUUUGUGGUUUUGGCAUUGGAGGUGCUGCAAUUGCGACAGUGAUAACUGAGUAUCUGGUUGCUUCCGUUCUUGUGUGGAGAUUAAGCGGAGAAAUAUCUUUUACUCUUUCAAGCAUUGAUGGAAGUAGAAUUGCGCGCUAUCUCCAAUCUGGUGGUCUCUUAAUGGGCCGGACAUUGGCUGUCCUUGUAACCCUGACUCUAGCCACAUCCAUGGCGGCUAGAGAAGGUCCUGUACCCAUGGCUGGUUACCAAAUUUGUGUACAAAUAUGGAUGGCCAUAUCUUUGCUUACCGAUGCUUUAGCACUUGCUGGUCAGGCAUUACUAGCAAGUAGCUACACCCUACAAGACUAUGAACAUUCGCGUCAAGUGAUUUAUAGAACUUUACAGAUUGGUUUGGUCUCAGGAAUUUCUUUGGCGAUUAUCUUAUUCCUGGGAUUUGGCGCAUUUUCUGGUUUAUUCAGUAGUGAUGCAGAAGUCCUGGAAAUUGCACGAUCUGGGUUGUUGUUUGUUGCUGGAUCGCAACCAGUGAAUGCACUGGCUUUUGUUGUAGAUGGGCUCUACUAUGGAGUUUCAGACUUCGGAUAUGCAGCUUACUCCAUGGUGCUUGUUGGACUGGUUUCUUCUAUCUACUUGCUUGUGGUCACUCCCGCAUUAGGUCUCCCUGGUGUUUGGAGUGGAUUGUUUCUGUUCAUGAUGUUGCGUUUAGUAGCUGGAAUCUGGAGAUUGGGCACGAAGAGUGGGCCAUGGGAGAUAGUUUUCAAUGAGGUCGACGGAAAAAGUGACUGAACUAAAAAGCUUCUUGAAGUUCGUAAAGCUCAUCUCUUUAAAGGGGUUGAAUACCACGAGGAUUUGGAUAUGUUCCCUUAGCUUUUUAAAAGCUCCACCAACUCUUACUCUUUACUGACACGACAGCUUUUUAUCUAUUAACCAGAGCUGCCCUCAUCAAUGCAACAGUUUCAGAUCAUGUCAGACAGUUCGCCGCAAUAUUCACCGGAUGAGGUUUUCUCCAUAGUCUCAAUCCCAUCAAAAUUAACAUGGAGGGGUGUACAAAAGAACAGGGGUCCGCAAAAAGGAGAAGAAAUGAAACUAACUAUGUACGAUCAAAAUAGAAUAAAUUUGUAACGAAAAAACAAAAGACAACCCUGCCUAAACUUUCAAUCUUCAUCCAUGGAAGCAUAAAUCAAGCCACUUGCGUUCCUCCUCCAA